UCUGGUGACAAUGGCAAAGAGGUCACACCUGUUCCCAUGCCGAACACAGAAGUUAAGCU
rnacentral:rRNA from 1 species